rnacentral:rRNA from 1 species
UUUAAAUUGAGAGUUUGAUCCUGGCUCAGGAUGAACGCUGGCGGCGUGCUUAACACAUGCAAGUCGAGCGAUGAAGUUUCCUUCGGGAAACGGAUUAGCGGCGGACGGGUGAGUAACACGUGGGUAACCUGCCUCAUAGAGUGGAAUAGCCUUCCGAAAGGAAGAUUAAUACCGCAUAACGUUGAAAGAUGGCAUCAUCAUU